rnacentral:rRNA from 1 species
AUUGAACGCUGGCGGCAUGCCUUACACAUGCAAGUCGAACGGCAGCACGGGAGCAAUCCUGGUGGCGAGUGGCGAACGGGUGAGUAAAGUAUCGGAACGUGCCCAGUCGUGGGGGAUAACGUGGCGAAAGUUACGCUAAUACCGCAUACGAUCUAUGGAUGAAAGCGGGGGAUCGCAAGACCUCGCGCGAUUGGAGCGGCCGAAACCAGAUUAGGUAGUUGGUGGGGUAAAGGCUCACCAAGCCGACGAUCUGUAGCUGGUCUGAGAGGACGACCAGCCACACUGGGACUGAGACACGGCCCAGACUCCUACGGGAGGCAGCAGUGGGGAAUUUUGGACAAUGGGCGAAAGCCUGAUCCAGCCAUGCCGCGUGCAGGAUGAAGGCCUUCGGGUUGUAAACUGCUUUUGUACGGAACGAAAAGGUUUGGCCUAAUAAGCUGAGCUCAUGACGGUACCGUAAGAAUAAGCACCGGCUAACUACGUGCCAGCCGCCGCCGUAA